GCCCUUCCAAGCUGCUUCCACUAGUUCUCUCUAAACUUUUCGAUCAUCAGCAUCUUCAAUUCUUGUCGUCCCUAAGUUUUCUAAAUCUUUGACUACUCUAUCAAACCAAUACUGUCUACCUCUUAGUCUUUUCCCGUUGGGUUUGUUGAGUAAAACAGUGAUUAAAACCUUAUGUACUUGUUUUUGCUUUACUUGCCAUACAGUGUUUGCCCAUUCUAGCCUAUUGACUUACAAACAUUUUAGUAUAUUUGGUCUGUUGAAAUCUCUUUUGAGAUUUUUCCUUUAUUCGUAGAUUCCUGAUUCCAAAUUUAAUAUGGGAUCAUAUAUUUAUACUUUCAAAGAGUAAGAAUAUUUGUU